rnacentral:misc_RNA from 1 species
GAUUCAUUAAACAAGCGAGAAGAGAUUACCGAUUAACGCACGCCGAGUGUGCGAUACGAUCAUUGGUUUUGACAUUAAGACAAUUGUGUAUGGUAAUGUAAUUAAUGCGAUUGUUGGGAUUUUCGCACAAUUGUACAUAAGCCAACAAUGUGUGGCAAAUUAACUGAAGUUAGUAUAUGAUCAAACGAGGAUUAAGAUCAUUAAAGGUUUUCGAGGAGAUAUUUAAAUAAUAAACUCGUUAUAUAUAUUGCAACUGAGGAAAUAUAAUUUACAAACAGCGAGAGGAUGUUUCAUGAAACUAAAAGGACGAUCUACAUUCCACUAAAAGGACUUGUUUUACGAACUAACAAAAUAUUGACAAUUAUUUCAAAACAGAAUUUACAAAUGAUGACACACUCAGUGCUUGUAUUUAUUAUGCUGUCAGGACUUCUAACACCAGCUGACUGUUUCAAACUCUACCCUCUGCCGGAUACACAACUCACUGACGCUGGUUAUGAAGAAGUCGCUGGUACGCAAGGACUGACCCACCAAAGUCUACUUCGCUAUCUUAUAAAUAAAAAAGAAGAUGAGGUUUCCAUUCGGAGAAAAAAGAAAGACAAAAAUUGCUGUGUUCAAAACUUAGCCUCAUGCACCAUCGAAGAACUCCAAAUGUGUCGAGCUUUAAAGACAAUACAGGAUUGCGGAUUCGUGAGUUGGGGAAGGCCAUGUAGGAGCGUCGGAUUCCCAAUGAAAAAAAGAGGAGGUGACUUUAAUGAUGGCGAUUUCAGCGACCUCUAUAGAUUCAUUAAUGCACGAAAUGAAUUUGAGCAGCGCUAUAGCGAGGCCCGUCGAGCCAAUGCCAUGCUUUGAGCGAACUCACCGGGAGCUAUACAGGUACUCAGUUCCUGAUAAAUAUAGCGAGGUGCCGGCAGUGGAGCACAACACUUCGAUGACAGCUCGCAUGGUAAUGCAAAUGGACUCAGAACUAAAACUUCUUUACCCACGUUUACAAUUGACAAAUGAUGAAUGUACUUGUUGAGAAUCGAACAACUUUAGUUCGUCAGAGAAAAAUGAGGAUAUCAGCCAGGAUGCAUUGACGUUACAUGUAGACAUACUUGAUGGUAUUCCUUAUGCUAAGUCAUCGUCAUGUUUUCCCAUGUUAGGUCAAUGCACCCUUGCUGAAAUCC